ensembl:lncRNA
CAUGUCUGCACUUGCCAUGGGAAGAAUGAGAUUAUUUGUACCUGGCAUGCCUACUGGAACGAUAUUGCUCAUUAUGUAAAGAGAGAGGUACGUGCUGCUUAGUCAGUCGCAUCCGACUCUCUGCGACCCCAUGGACUCUAGCCCACCCGGUUCCUCUGUCCAUGGGAUUCUCCAGGUAAGAAUACUGGAGUGGGUAGCCUUCCUCUUCUCUUCCCAGUCCAGGGAUUGAACCCAAGUCUACUGCAUUUCAGGCAACUUCUUUACUGUUCGAGCCACCAAGUAGAGGGCAUUUAGCUGCCCCAGACGCAAGGGCUACAACGCUGAACAAGACAGCUUGGCUGCUGUGGUGGCGCCUACAGCCUCCUGGAGCAGACAAUGGAUUUAAAACUACUUUGUCAAUUAUAACCUGCGAUGGACUUGAGGAGACUUAGACACUAAGAAGGGUGUCCAGGGACCCUGCUUAAAUGAAUGACAACCUGAAGUUACUGGGAAAGGCUUAUUCCAUUCUGGGAGGUGAUGGGAGACCUCACAUUCUGUGUGUAUGGAAUGACCGAAAAAAACAAAACAAAACUGAGAAAUCAACAGUUCUCUCCAUGGUGUAAAUGCAAAGAAGAUGGGCAACCUCGUAAACUCCUGGCUACCUUUGCUACCCCUGAAGUCACAAGCUCUUUAUUUAUCUUUUCUUCUUGAACCCUGAGAAAAGUAUAUCAAAGUGACUUGGUCAGCCAAACGUUUGUGCACUUAGGAACUGGCACUAUGACAAACGCCUGCUGAGAAGAGAAAAGAUUUCUGUGUUUCUUAGUGUCAUUUUCUCCCUUGAGAUGUUUCCAGAGACUUGAAAGGAAGGCUGUACUGAGGAACUGAUUAAAUUGGCUCAUAUUAAAAUCGAAAGUUGGUGUGAACAACCAGUCCUGUCUGCCUCUGCUCCCAGCCCAGCAAGCCCAG